CAGUUAGUCUUCCUCCAGAAGGCGUCUGGCUGCUUGAUGCAGCUCUGGCUGCUGCACUGGGAAAGACCAACGAGGAGGUGGAAAAGUCAAAGCCUGAAAAGGCCAGCAGUGAAGUGUGGGCCACCAUUCUGGCUCUGAUCUGGCUUCAUGGUUUCAAGAUGGAUGCAAAGGACGAGUGGGAGCUUCUGGCUGCAAAGGCCGUAUCAUGGCUCAGUGCGCAAAAAGCACCAUCUGUGACCGAGUGUGUGGAAGCCAGAAAUAUAUUGUUGGGUUGCAGUGUGCAAAAAAACUGCCCUUGGCCUCUGAGGUUUUUAUUAAGCUAAU